rnacentral:rRNA from 1 species
AGAGUUUGAUCCUGGCUCAGAUUGAACGCUGGCGGCAGGCCUAACACAUGCAAGUCGAGCGGCAGCGGGAAAGUAGCUUGCUACUUUUGCCGGCGAGCGGCGGACGGGUGAGUAAUGCCUGGGGAUCUGCCCAGUCGAGGGGGAUAACAGUUGGAAACGACUGCUAAUACCGCAUACGCCCUACGGGGGAAAGGAGGGGACCUUCGGGCCUUUCGCGAUUGGAUGAACCCAGGUGGGAUUAGCUAGUUGGUGGGAUAAUGGCUCACCAAGGCGACGAUCCCUAGCUGGUCUGAGAGGAUGAUCAGCCACACUGGAACUGAGACACGGUCCAGACUCCUACGGGAGGCAGCAGUGGGGAAUAUUGCACAAUGGGGGAAACCCUGAUGCAGCCAUGCCGCGUGUGUGAAGAACGCCUUCGGGUUGUAAAGCACUUUCAGCGAGGAGGAAAGGUUGGCGCCUAAUACGUGUCAACUGUGACGUUACUCGCAGAAGAAGCACCGGCUAACUCCGUGCCAGCAGCCGCGGUAAUACGGAGGGUGCUAGCGUUAAUCGGAAUUACUGGGCGUAAAGCGCACGCAGGCGGUUGGAUA